rnacentral:tmRNA from 1 species
GGGGGUGACGUGGUUUCGACAUGGUGAUGCUCGAGAUCGGAUAAGCAAGCCCAGGUCUCCUCGCCUGGUAAAACAGGGGUAAACCUUUUUUAAACGGCGAAACUGAUUACGCCUACGCAGCCUAGUUGCUGCGUCGUCAAGUUGGGGUUAGCUCCCGACGCCAAUGCGACGACACAAAGGGAGCUGCUCUAUUACUUGUGGGCUGUAUAAGUAAUAGCUAAGAUCGAACAGCCAUGAGAGGCGCCCGGUUUGUCAUUUGUCUUAGGCACCUCUCGAGAACACGCAAAUGACUGAGCUUGGAGAAACCGAUCGAGAGUGCUUCAUGGACGUGGGUUCGAUUCCCACCACCUCCACCA